AGAGUUUGAUCAUGGCUCAGAUUGAACGCUGGCGGCAGGCUUAACACAUGCAAGUCGAGCGGUAACAGGAGAAGCUUGCUUCUCGCUGACGAGCGGCGGACGGGUGAGUAAUACUUAGGAAUCUACCUAGUAGUGGGGGAUAGCUCGGGGAAACUCGAAUUAAUACCGCAUACGACCUACGGGAGAAAGGGGGCAACUUGUUGCUCUCGCUAUUAGAUGAGCCUAAGUCGGAUUAGCUAGAUGGUGGGGUAAAGGCCUACCAUGGCGACGAUCUGUAGCUGGUCUGAGAGGAUGAUCAGCCACACCGGGACUGAGACACGGCCCGGACUCCUACGGGAGGCAGCAGUGGGGAAUAUUGGACAAUGGGGGCAACCCUGAUCCAGCCAUGCCGCGUGUGUGAAGAAGGCCUUUUGGUUGUAAAGCACUUUAAGCAGUGAAGAAGACUCCAUGGUUAAUACCCAUGGACGAUGACAUUAGCUGCAGAAUAAGCACCGGCUAACUCUGUGCCAGCAGCCGCGGUAAUACAGAGGGUGCAAGCGUUAAUCGGAAUUACUGGGCGUAAAGCGAGCGUAGGUGGCUUGAUAAGUCAGAUGUGAAAGCCCCGGGCUUAACCUGGGAACGGCAUCUGAUACUGUUAGGCUAGAGUAGGUGAGAGGAAGGUAGAAUUCCAGGUGUAGCGGUGAAAUGCGUAGAGAUCUGGAGGAAUACCGAUGGCGAAGGCAGCCUUCUGGCAUCAUACUGACACUGAGGUUCGAAAGCGUGGGUAGCAAACAGGAUUAGAUACCCUGGUAGUCCACGCCGUAAACGAUGUCUACUAGUCGUUGGGUCCCUUGAGGACUUAGUGACGCAGCUAACGCAAUAAGUAGACCGCCUGGGGAGUACGGUCGCAAGACUAAAACUCAAAUGAAUUGACGGGGGCCCGCACAAGCGGUGGAGCAUGUGGUUUAAUUCGAUGCAACGCGAAGAACCUUACCUGGUCUUGACAUAGUAAGAACUUUCCAGAGAUGGAU
rnacentral:rRNA from 1 species